UGCAGUCUGAUUCAGGGAUCUGGACCAGGUUUCCGCCUCGAUCCAGCUGAAGUGGCUCUGAAGCUGCCUCGGAGAUCUGGCCAUAGGGUAUAAUGGGGAAUCAAUGAAAUAUCUAUAACUGU